rnacentral:rRNA from 1 species
AUUGAACGCUGGCGGCAUGCCUUACACAUGCAAGUCGAACGGUAACGGGUCCUUCGGGAUGCCGACGAGUGGCGAACGGGUGAGUAAUAUAUCGGAACGUGCCCAGUAGUGGGGGAUAACUGCUCGAAAGAGCAGCUAAUACCGCAUACGACCUGAGGGUGAAAGGGGGGGAUCGCAAGACCUCUCGCUAUUGGAGCGGCCGAUAUCAGAUUAGCUAGUUGGUGGGGUAAAGGCCCACCAAGGCAACGAUCUGUUGUUGGUCUGAGAGGACGACCAGCAACACUGGGACUGAGACACGGCCCAGACUCCUACGGGAGGCGGCAGUGGGGAAUUUUGGACAAUGGGCGCAAGCCCGAUCCAGCAAUGCCGCGUGCAGGAAGAAGGCCUUCGGGUUGUAAACUGCUUUUGUCAGGGAAGAAAUCUUCUGGGCUAAUACCCCGGGAGGAUGACGGUACCUGAAGAAUAAGCACCGGCUAACUACGUGCCAGCAGCCGCCGUAA